rnacentral:rRNA from 1 species
GGCUCAGGAUGAACGCUGGCGGCGUGCUUAACACAUGCAAGUCGAACGGGCUCAUAUUGAAACCUAGUGAUUUAUGAGUUAGUGGCGGACGGGUGAGUAACGCGUGGAAAACCUGCCGUAUACUGGGGGAUAACACUUAGAAAUAGGUGCUAAUACCGCAUAAGCGCACAGCUUCGCAUGAAGUGGUGUGAAAAACUCCGGUGGUAUACGAUGGUUCCGCGUCUGAUUAGCUUGUUGGCGGGGUAAUGGCUCACCAAGGCGACGAUCAGUAGCCGGCCUGAGAGGGUGAACGGCCACAUUGGGACUGAGACACGGCCCAAACUCCUACGGGAGGCAGCAGUGGGGAAUAUUGCACAAUGGGGGAAACCCUGAUGCAGCGACGCCGCGUGAGUGAAGAAGUAUUUCGGUAUGUAAAGCUCUAUCAGCAGGGAAGAAAUAGCGACCUUUGGGUCGCCAGACGGUACCUGAUUAAGAAGCCCCGGCUAACUACGUGCCAGCAGCCGCGGUAAUAC